rnacentral:rRNA from 1 species
UGAAUACGAGACGCUAAGGCGUCGAAGUAGUGUAUGUCAUACUUCCAAGAAAAGCUUGCACUGUCAUAAAUAAAAAUGCCUGUACCAUAACCGACACAGGUGGGUAGGUAGAGUAUACUAAGGGGCGCGAGAUAACUCUCUCUAAGGAACUCGGCAAAAUAACUCCGUAACUUCGGGAGAAGGAGUGCCUUAUUCUUAAGGUUGCAAUAACAAGAUCCAAGCAACUGUUUAUCAAAAACACAGGUCUCCGCUAAGUCGCAAGACGAUGUAUGGGGGCUGACGCCUGCCCAGUGCCAGAAGGUUAAGGAAGUUGGUUAGCUUUUGCGAAGCUGAUAACUGAAGCCCUGGUGAACGGCGGCCGUAACGAUAACGGUCCUAAGGUAGCGAAAUUCCUUGUCGGGUAAGUUCCGACCCGCACGAAAGGCGUAAUGAUUUGGAUACUGUCUCGGAGAGGGGCUCGGUGAAAUAGACUUGUCUGUGAAGAUGCGGACUACCUGCACCAGGACAGAAAGACCCUAUGAAGCUUUACUGUAACUUGAAAUUGAAAUUGGACUUUAUUCGCGCAGUAUAGGUGGGAGGCGUUGAUUGUAAUCUUGCGGGAUUAUUGGAGCCAUCAGUGAAAUACCACUCUUGUAAUGUUAGAUUUCUAACUUUGUAUCAUUAUCUGGUCAAAGAACAGUUUCAGGCGGGCAUUUUGACUGGGGCGGUCGCCUCCUAAACGGUAACGGAGGCGUACAAAGGUUUCCUCUGAACGGUUAGAAAUCGUAUCUAGAGUGUAAAGGCAUAAGGAAGCUUGACUGUGAGACCUACAAGUCGAGCAGGGACGAAAGUCGGUCUUAGUGAUCUGACGGUACUGAGUGGAAAGGCCGUCACUCAACGGAUAAAAGUUACUCUAGGAUAACAGGCUGAUCUCCCCCAAGAGUUCACAUCGACGGGGAGGUUUGGCACCUCGAUGUCGGCUCAUCGCAUCCUGGGGCGGUAGUACGUCCCAAGGGUUGGGCUGUUCGCCCAUGAAAGCGGUACGCGAGCUGGGUUCAGAACGUCGUGAGACAGUUCGGUCCAUAUCCGGUGUAGGCGUUAGAAUAUUGAGAGGAGCCUUCUUUAGUACGAGAGGACCGAGAAGGACAUACCUCUGGUGUACCAGUUAUCGUGCCAACGGUAAACGCUGGGUAGCUAUGUAUGGAGUGGAUAACCGCUGAAAGCAUCUAAGUGGGAAGCCCACCUCAAGAUAAG